ACCAGUGUGGCCUAGUGGUUUGAGUACUGGACUUUGACUCUAGAGACCAGGGUUGUAUUCCCCACUCAGCCA